UACGUAGGGGGCUAGCGUUGUCCGGAAUCAUUGGGCGUAAAGAGCGUGUAGGCGGUUCGGUAAGUCCGCUGUGAAAGUCCAGGGCUCAACCCUGGAAUGCCAGUGGAAACUGCCGAGCUAGAGUCCGGAAGAGGCGAGUGGAAUUCCUGGUGUAGGCGGUGAAAUGCGCAGAUAUCAGGAGGAACACCAAUGGCGAAAGCAGCUCGCUGGGACGGUACUGACGCUGAGACGCGAAAGCGUGGGGAGCAAACAGG
rnacentral:rRNA from 1 species